AACACUAUGAUAAGAGACUGUCGGCUGUUCUGACCCUAGGUCUUGUAAGGCUAAAACUUAAACUAGGUCCUCAGGAGAAUGAACUUCCAAGCAAUGGGCAGCAGAACAACAUAUUGCUGAGCAACUGUCAAAAAAAACCCCACAAGACUUCUGACAGGGACAUUCCACAAAGCACAGUAUGGAGCAAGCAAAGACUACGUCAUGAAGAUUUACAAGAGGAAAAUUAAAGAAGUGAAGGAAGAAGACACGGGUCACCACAGAGGCACGUAAAAUAGCUUUCCUAUUGAUGGAGUCUUCACCUUUCAGGUUUCUGCAGUGAACUAGUGGUAACAGUUGCCUUGAUGUAUCUUCUGUCACAUAUUCUUGUUUUAACAUCGUUAUUGCCUUCAGCUGAUGUCAGCACAGUAAUCUCUGGAUUUGUAGAUGAAGAUGUGAUCCUGCCUUGCUUCUUCCCUCCUAAUGAGAGAUUUUAUCACUCAACAAUUGAUAUUUUGUGGAAAUUUAAAAGUGAAAACAUUGCUGUUCAUUAUGUCUUUGAUGGGGCAUUUCAAAGGCAAAUGCAGAAUGAAAAAUUUGCUGAACGCACAAUGCUUUUUCAUAAAGAGAUUUCUAAGGGAAAUGUGUCCCUGUUACUAAAAAAUCUACAAGAAUCAGAUACUGGGAUAUAUGAAUGUGCUGUAUGGAUUAAGGAGUAUAAAUCUACAAAUAUAGAGCUCAUUGUUAAAGAAAAAACAUAUGGAUAUACAAACUAAAGUUCAAUAAUCGCUAUUUCAGUGCCUGUGGUAAUUUUCUGCAUUGUGGUUACAUUAUGCAUUUUUUCAAGGCGAAGAAAGAGAAGCAGGGGAAAAACAGAUUGAAGAUCCACAUUAUGCGCUGAGUCCUGAUAAAUCGGUUCCCAUGAAACACGUGGACAUAAUACAGUUGUGUUAAGGUGCAGAUUCAUUAAACUUCAUUUAAUGAGUUGUUGAUUUUAA